UUACGGGAGGCAGCAAGCGGGAAUAUUGCACAAUGGGCGAAAGCCUGAUGCAGCGAUGCCGCGUGAGGGAUGAAGGCCUUCGGGUUGUAAACCUCUGUUGAUGGGGACGAAGAUCUGACGGUACCCAUCGAGGAAGCUCCGGCUAACUCCGUGCCAGCAGCCGCGGUAAGACGGAGGGAGCAAGCGUUGUCCGGAUUUACUGGGCGUAAAGCGCGCGUAGGCGGCUUGUUAAGUCGGCUGUGAAAUCGCUGGGCUCAACCCAGCAAUUGCAGUCGAUACUGGCAGGCUCGAGUCCGGGAGAGGGAAGCGGAAUUCCUGGUGUAGCGGUGGAAUGCGUAGAUAUCAGGAAGAACACCGGUGGCGAAGGCGGCUUCCUGGACCGGUACUGACGCUGAGGCGCGAAAGCUAGGGGAGCGAACGGGAUUAGAUACCCCGGUAGG
rnacentral:rRNA from 1 species